rnacentral:lncRNA from 1 species
AGGGAACAGAUAUGGAGCCCAGCUUGUAUCGUUGCAGUAACAUCGAUUGUAAGGCUUCACCUCUGACCUUUACAGUACAACUGAGCAACAAAUUGAUCAUGGACAUUAGACGUUUCAUUAAAAAGUACUAUGAUGGCUGGUUGAUAUGUGAAGAGCCAACCUGUCGCAAUCGAACUCGUCACCUUCCCCUUCAAUUCUCCCGAACUGGGCCUCUUUGCCCAGCCUGCAUGAAAGCUACACUUCAACCAGAGGUAACAGUCUCAUAAUGCUAAAGAACCAUGUAGAAGAGGGUAGAGGGCUGCUUGCUUUGAGAAGUAGAUACUGAGUAUUUGCCCUAUGAAGAUGCCCU